rnacentral:rRNA from 1 species
AUUGAACGCUGGCGGCAGGCCUAACACAUGCGAGUCGAGCGGAUGAAGGGAGCUUGCUCCUGGAUUCAGCGGCGGACGGGUGAGUAAUGCCUAGGAAUCUGCCUGGUAGUGGGGGAUAACGUCCGGAAACGGGCGCUAAUACCGCAUACGUCCUGAGGGAGAAAGUGGGGGAUCUUCGGACCUCACGCUAUCAGAUGAGCCUAGGACGGAUUAGCUAGUUGGUGGGGUAAAGGCCUACCAAGGCGACGAUCCGUAACUGGUCUGAGAGGAUGAUCAGUCACACUGGAACUGAGACACGGUCCAGACUCCUACGGGAGGCAGCAGUGGGGAAUAUUGGACAAUGGGCGAAAGCCUGAUCCAGCCAUGCCGCGUGUGUGAAGAAGGUCUUCGGAUUGUAAAGCACUUUAAGUUGGGAGGAAGGGCAGUAAGUUAAUACCUUGCUGUUUUGACGUUACCAACAGAAUAAGCACCGGCUAACUUCGUG